rnacentral:tRNA from 1 species
GGGAAAGUAGCUCAAUGGUAGAGUGCUUGCCUUGCAUGCAUGAGGCCCGGGGUUCGAUUCCUCAGCACCA